GGGAGAGACAGAGAAAGAUUAACAAAUGAGUAUUACUUUAUUAAAAGGGGAUCUUGCCUUAAGCCACUUGGGCUGUUAUAACAGAAAUAUCAUAAAGCGAUGGCUUUUUUUCUCAUAGUUCUGGAGGCUUGGAAGUCCAAAAUCAAAGUGCCAGCAGAUCUGGGGAAGGCCUGUUACUAACGGUUUCUACCUGAGUCCUCUCAUGGUGAAAGGGUUACAGUAGCUCUCUGGGCCUCUCUUACAAGGGCAAGCAUCCGUUCAGGGGGAUACUUGAGCUAAUCACCCGUAAAGGCCUCGCCUUGCCAUCCCUCCACACCGGGGACCAGGUUUGAACACAUGAGUUUAGAGAAACACAGGUAUUCAGACCAUAGCAGUUUUUACUCUGCCAAAGCAUCGGCCUUGAGAAGAGCAGCAUAUGGAGGACGUGGCCCAAAGAAUACUUUGAUGAACCAUCAGAUGCCUCCUCUGAAUGGAGACCCUCUACUGAUGUCCCAUGCUGCAUCCGAAGAAGAAACUACAGCUUUGCCUGAAGAACCUCCCAGAAGACUGUGCUGUAGCUCACUUGCCAAAACAGACCAGACAGGCACCUCAGCUCCACAGGAGACUGCAAAACAGGGAACAGGUUCACCAUGCUUUCAGGAUCUUGUGCAAGAUCGGUUAUGAACACGUGGGCAACUCGAAAGUCUGGAGCUGCUUUAGCACAGAAAGCAAAGUUGUUGUGAGUCAAAUAAAUAGUUCAGAACAUCUGCAACAAAGCCCAUUCUUCUUCCAGUCUAACAUCAGAUUGGGUCUGCUCACCCUUAGACAUCUCUGAAGUGAUCUGUCCCUUCACAGCUAUGCACCCCGCUUGGUGCGUGCUUCAGUGUAGAUCCCGCAUCUGUUCACAGGAGUACAGCAGCAGGCUGCUGGUCAUUGUUUCCCUGCCUUCUCUGCUCCGGCAUCACCCAGAGUGAGGCCUCGUGUUGGUAAAGCUGAGUCUAUGAGUGACAAACACCAGGCUGGUUUUAACCUGUGGCCAUCUUGUGCCCAGUGCCCACCACUGCCACCCUCUCGCCACUCCCAGUUUCUCACUUGGAGUGUCUCACAUCCCUCAUCUCCGUGCUGGGACGGUGGCUCCUGUAUGUGUUCUCAGUAGCUUAUCAGUGCUUAUAGCACACUUUGUUAUCAUCUUUCAUUAGAUGAGUCCACUAACACUAUCUGAGGGACUUUCCUGACAAGAAAAACAUUUGUUUCAUUCAUAUCAGAGUCCGUCUCACCCGGCACAGUACCUCACAUCAAGAAUUCAAUUAAUACUUAUGUUGAAUAAACAGAUUGAUGGAAGAGUAUUUGCAUAUUGCUGUUAAUUGGAAAAGUCAGGUAGUAAUUAUUUCUCUAGUCUCUGUAAUAUGAGAAUGAACAGAAGACUGCAUACAAAGUUAUUGGAAGGGCAGACUGUGUCCCCAGACAGACUAACUCCACAAGGUCAACUGUGUGACCUUGGCGAAUUAAUCUCCUUGUGCCAAUUUCAUUAUACACACAAGAUAAAUAGUGAUAAUACUUACUGGUUGGCUAGAAGGAUUAAAAGAGUUAAUGUUUGCAAUUCUAAGUUAAUGAAUAGAUCUGUAGCAGAAACUUUGAAUAUUAUAUUUUUUCAAUAAAUUAAUAAGGCAAUCAUGACUCCUCUACCAACAGAAUUUAGAGUCUAGGUCAGUGCUAACAGAAACACAAAAGGAGCUACAAAUGUAAUUAAACUUUUGUAGUAAUCCUCCCCCCUCAAAAAAGUCCAAUUGAAUUGUAAGUACAAAACAUUUUGAUAAAUGACUUAAACCAGUGUAGCAACAUAUUAAUAGUCCAACAUGCAAUUAGUCUAAAAAGUUACUGAGAUAUUUCAUAUUCUUUAUUUUGCACUCUCUUCGAAAUCCAGAUUGCCUUUUAUAAAUACUUGUAGCACACUUCAGUUCACAUGUAUACUUUUCUCUGACAGUUCUAGUCCAUAAAAUUACGGUUCAGAAAGUAGACUCAUAUGCUCACGUUGUUCCAAACAUACUUUAAAAUUUCACGGUAACCGAGAGUCAUGCUUAAAUUUAAAUUUAUCAUAAUGGGUAAAAUUAAAUGUUCAGGUCCUCAGUCACACUGGUUACAUUUUAGUGUUCAGGCAAAAAGGUGUAAGGAAGGGUGGGUGGAGGCUGGAUAAGAUCAAAGUGUAUUACACACAGAUGAAAAUUAAUAAAGAUAUGUUUUUGAAGAACAGCCACAAUAUUUAACAGGACCAGAGGAAAUGAAACCAGUACCCAGACGGUUGUAGAAUGCGGGUAGGUGCUGUGUCAGGGUGAGGACUGAGCACUCUGGAGCAUGCUGUGGGUACUGAUGCCAGUUGGCAGAGGGAAUUCAUCCCAGAAACAUUUUCUAGAGAAAAUGCAGUUUAUCCUGAGACAUCAAUAACAAACUGGAUCUAUCUAGAUGAUAAGGAAGCAAAUAUGUCUAUCAGAAGGCAGUACUGGAGAUGUGGGAACAGGUAAUACCGUCACAGAGCUGAACGGAAAAUCAGAGUGACUGGUGCUUGGGGUGUGUGUGUGUGUAGAGAGCAGAGAUGGACUAAAUAGGAAGAGUAAAAAGCAGAGGAAGGCUAGACAGGAGGGAAGGGAGAAAAUAUGCCAGUUUCAUGAGGCAGGUAGAAGGCCAGACUGUUUUGAAGGCAAAAAAAAAUGUCACUUAACAAUUAAACAGAUUAGUUAUGGUAUCAUCUACAUUUAUUAGAGAUCAUUCUGAUUAUAAUAGAAAAAAGUUAAAAGAUAAAAACCAAAGUGAAACAUCUCAUAUCUACUA